rnacentral:rRNA from 1 species
GAUGAACGCUGGCGGCGUGCUUAACACAUGCAAGUCGAACGGAAAGGCUCCUGCUUGCAGGGGUACUCGAGUGGCGAACGGGUGAGUAACACGUGGGUGAUCUGCCCUGCACUUCGGGAUAAGCCUGGGAAACUGGGUCUAAUACCGGAUAGGACGAUGGUUUGGAUGCCAUUGUGGAAAGUUUUUCGGUGUGGGAUGAGCUCGCGGCCUAUCAGCUUGUUGGUGGGGUAAUGGCCUACCAAGGCGUCGACGGGUAGCCGGCCGGAGAGGGUGUACGGCCACAUUGGGACUGAGAUACGGCCCAGACUCCUACGGGAGGCAGCAGUGGGGAAUAUUGCACAAUGGGCGCAAGCCUGAUGCAGCGACGCCGCGUGGGGGAUGACGGCCUUCGGGUUGUAAACUCCUUUCGCUAGGGACGAAGCGCAAGUGACGGUACCUGGAGAAGAAGCACCGGCUAACUACGUG